rnacentral:rRNA from 1 species
GACGAACGCUGGCGGCGUGCCUAAUACAUGCAAGUUGAGCGCUGAAGGUUGGUACUUGUACCAACUGGAUGAGCAGCGAACGGGUGAGUAACGCGUGGGGAAUCUGCCUUUGAGCGGGGGACAACAUUUGGAAACGAAUGCUAAUACCGCAUAAAAACUUUAAACACAAGUUUUAAGUUUGAAAGAUGCAAUUGCAUCACUCAAAGAUGAUCCCGCGUUGUAUUAGCUAGUUGGUGAGGUAAAGGCUCACCAAGGCGAUGAUACAUAGCCGACCUGAGAGGGGGAUAGGCCACAUUGGGACGGGGACACGGCCCAAAAUCCUACGGGAGGCAGCAGUAGGGAAUCUUCGGCAAUGGACGAAAGUCUGACCGAGCAACGCCGCGGGAGUGAAGAAGGUUUUCGGAUCGUAAAACUCUGUUGGUAGAGAAGAACGUUGGUGAGAGUGGAAAGCUCAUCAAGUGACGGUAACUACCCAGAAAGGGACGGCUAACUACGUG